rnacentral:rRNA from 1 species
GUGUCAGCCGCCGCGGUAAUACGUAGGAUCCAAGCGCUAUCCGGAUUUACUGGGCGUAAAGCGUGCGUAGGCGGCGCGUUAAGUGCUAUGCGAAAUCAGCUGGCUCAACCAGCUGACUGUAUGGCAUACUGGCGUGCUUGAGGAUGGCAGAGGCAAGUGGAAUUUGCGGUGUAGCAGUGAAAUGCGUAAAUAUCGCAAGGAACACCAAUGGCGAAGGCAGCUUGCUGGGCCACACCUGACGCUGAGUCACGAAAGCGUGGGGAGCGAACAGGAUUAGAAACCCUGGUAGUCC